AGUGAACGCUGGCGGUAGGCCUAACACAUGCAAGUUGAACGGCAGCACAGUAAGAGCUUGCUCUUACGGGUGGCGAGUGGCGGACGGGUGAGGAAUACAUCGGAAUCUACUUUUUCGUGGGGGAUAACGUAGGGAAACUUACGCUAAUACCGCAUACGACCUACGGGUGAAAGCAGGGGAUCUUCGGACCUUGCGCGAUUGAAUGAGCCGAUGUCGGAUUAGCUAGUUGGCGGGGUAAAGGCCCACCAAGGCGACGAUCCGUAGCUGGUCUGAGAGGAUGAUCAGCCACACUGGAACUGAGACACGGUCCAGACUCCUACGGGAGGCAGCAGUGGGGAAUAUUGGACAACGGGCGCAAGCCUGAUCCAGCAAUACCGCGUGGGUGAAGAAGGCCUUCGGGUUGUAAAGCCCUUUUGUUGGGAAAGAAAAGCAGCAGGUUAAUACCCCGCUGUUCUGACGGUACCCAAAGAAUAAGCACCGGCUAACUUCGUG
rnacentral:rRNA from 1 species